GGCGCGGCUUGCUACAUCGAUGUCGGCUCUUCCUAUCCUGGCAGUGCAUAAGCUGCCAAGGGUGAGGGGGUUCACCUAUCAAAAGGGAUCGUUAGCUGGGUUCACAACGCUGUGAGGCAGUUGGUAUAAUAUCUACUGGAGAUGCUUGAUGUCUGAGGGGAAGGACGCCAUAGUACGAGAGGAACUGGCGUUCGAGGCCACUAGUUUACCGGUUAUCUGACAAGGUAUCAUGCCGGGCAGCCACGCCUUGAGGGAUAAGUCCUGAAAGCAUCUAAGGAUGAAGCCCUCCUCGAAAAGAGACAUCUUAGAACAUAGCUAAAAGAGCUGUUUGAUGGGAUCGGCGUGUAAGCGCAAAGGUAACGAUGCGUUCAGCGUGCGAUUUCCAACGUUCAUUCUCAGUAUUUU
rnacentral:rRNA from 1 species